CCUACGGGUGGCUGAACCAGCCAAGUCGCGUGAGGGAAGACGGCCCUACGGGUUGUAAACCUCUUUUGUCAGGGAGCAAGGUGCAGGUCGGGACCUGCUGUGAGAGUACCUGAAGAAAAAGCAUCGGCUAACUCCGUGCAAGCAGCCGCGGUAAUACGGAGGAUGCGAGCGUUAUCCGGAUUUAUUGGGGUAAAGGGGUGCGCAGGCGGAGGCAAAAGUCAGCGGGAAAAUCGCGGGGCUCAACCCCGCCCCGCCGUUGAAACUGUGUCCCUUGAGUGCGCGAAGGGUAGGCGGAAUGCGUGGUGUAGCGGUGAAAUGCAUAGAUAUCACGCAGAACUCCGAUCGCGAAGGCAGCCUACCGGCGCGCAACUGACGCUCAUGCACGAAAGCGUGGGUAUCGAACAGGAUUAGAUACCCGGGUAGUC
rnacentral:rRNA from 1 species